UAAGCAUAUCAAUAAGCGGAGGAAAAGAAACCAACAGGGAUUGCCCCAGUAACGGCGAGUGAAGCGGCAACAGCUCAAAUUUGAAAUCUGGUCCCUAGGGCCCGAGUUGUAAUUUGUAGAGGAUGCUUUUGGUGAGGUGCCGCCCGAGUUCCCUGGAACGGGACGCCACAGAGGGUGAGAGCCCCGUCUGGCUGGCCGCCGAGCCUCUGUAAAGCUCCUUCGACGAGUCGAGUAGUUUGGGAAUGCUGCUCAAAAUGGGAGGUAUAUGUCUUCUAAAGCUAAAUAUUGGCCAGAGACCGAUAGCGCACAAGUAGAGUGAUCGAAAGAUGAAAAGCACCUUGAAAAGAGGGUUAAAUAGUACGUGAAAUUGUUGAAAGGGAAGCGCUUGUGACCAGACUUGGGCGCGGCGGAUCAUCCGGGGUUCUCUCCGGUGCACUUCGCCGCGUCUAGGCCAGCAUCAGUUCGUCGCGGGGGAAAAAGGCUUCGGGAACGUGGCUCCUCCGGGAGUGUUAUAGCCCGUUGCAUAAUACCCUGCGGUGGACUGAGGACCGCGCAUCUGCAAGGAUGCUGGCGUAAUGGUCACCAGC
rnacentral:rRNA from 1 species